rnacentral:rRNA from 1 species
AACGAACGCUGGCGGCAUGCCUAACACAUGCAAGUCGAACGAGACCUUCGGGUCUAGUGGCGCACGGGUGCGUAACGCGUGGGAAUCUGCCCUUGGGUACGGAACAACAGUUAGAAAUGA